rnacentral:rRNA from 1 species
AGAGUUUGAUCCUGGCUCAGAUUGAACGCUGGCGGCAGGCCUAACACAUGCAAGUCGAGCGGAAACGAUGGGAGCUUGCUCCCAGGCGUCGAGCGGCGGACGGGUGAGUAACACGUGGGAAUCUGCCCAUUAGUGGGGGAUAACUCGGGGAAACUCGAGCUAAUACCGCAUAAUCCCUACGGGGGAAAGCAGGGGAUCUUCGGACCUUGCGCUGAUGGAUGAGCCCGCGUCGGAUUAGCUUGUUGGUGGGGUAAUGGCCCACCAAGGCGACGAUCCGUAACUGGUCUGAGAGGAUGGCCAGUCACACCGGGACUGAGACACGGCCCGGACUCCUACGGGAGGCAGCAGUGGGGAAUCUUGGACAAUGGGCGCAAGCCUGAUCCAGCCAUGCCGCGUGUGUGAAGAAGGCCUUCGGGUUGUAAAGCACUUUCAGUAGGGAGGAAGGCUUUGGGCUAAUACCCUGGAGUACUUGACGUUACCUACAGAAGAAGCACCGGCUAAUUUCGUGCCAGCAGCCGCGGUAAUACGAAAGGUGCGAGCGUUAAUCGGAAUUACUGGGCGUAAAGCGCGCGUAGGCGGUGUGUUAAGUCGGAUGUGAAAGCCCAGGGCUCAACCUUGGAAUUGCAUCCGAUACUGGCACGCUAGAGUGCAGUAGAGGGAGGUGGAAUUUCCGGUGUAGCGGUGAAAUGCGUAGAGAUCGGAAGGAACACCAGUGGCGAAGGCGGCCCCUGGACUGACACUGACGCUGAGGUUGCGAAAGCGUGGGGAGCAAACAGGAUUAGAUAACCCUGGUAGUCCACGCUGUAAACGAUGUCUACCUUAGCCGUUCGGGGUCCUUAGUGACUUUGGUGGCGCAGCUAAAGACCGCCUGGGGAGUACGGCCGCAAGGUUAAAACUCAAAUGAAUUGACGGGGGCCCGCACAAGCGGUGGAGCAUGUGGUUUAAUUCGAUGCAACGCGAAGAACCUUACAGGCCUUGACAUCCUGCGAACUUUCUAGAGAUAGAUUGGUGCCUUCGGGAACGCAGUGACAGGUGCUGCAUGGCUGUCGUCAGCUCGUGUCGUGAGAUGUUGGGUUAAGUCCCGUAACGAGCGCAACCCUUGUCCUUAGUUGCCAGCACUUCGGGUGGGAACUCUAGGGAGACUGCCGGUGACAAACCGGAGGAAGGUGGGGACGACGUCAAGUCAUCAUGGCCCUUACGGCCUGGGCUACACACGUGCUACAAUGGUUGGUACAGAGGGUUGCGAAGUCGCGAGGCGGAGCUAAUCUCUCAAAGCCAAUCGUAGUCCGGAUUGGAGUCUGCAACUCGACUCCAUGAAGUCGGAAUCGCUAGUAAUCGCGGAUCAGAAUGCCG